ACGCUGUCUCCGGUGUGAUAAUAUCUACGCCGCAUGAAUGGUGCCUCCGUGUUACCCCGUUUACUCGGUCGCGUAGCCUUGGGAGGAUGGAACCGCUUCUAAUCGUCCGCAUGCGUCGCGACACCUCCACUGGGAGGCCGGCGUGGACAAUUCAUCUGACAUCUGAGCUCAAAUCAGGUAGGACUACCCGCUGAACUUAA
rnacentral:misc_RNA from 1 species